rnacentral:rRNA from 1 species
AUUGAACGCUGGCGGCAGGCCUAACACAUGCAAGUCGAGCGAGUGGCGGACGGGUGAGUAAUGUAUGGGAAACUGCCUGAUGGAGGGGGAUAACUACUGGAAACGGUAGCUAAUACCGCAUACCAUCGGAUGUGCCCAUAUGGGAUUAGCUAGUAGGUGGGGUAAAGGCUCACCUAGGCGACGAUCCCUAGCUGGUCUGAGAGGAUGAUCAGCCACACUGGGACUGAGACACGGUCCAGACUCCUACGGGAGGAAGCAGUGGGGAAUAUUGCACAAUGGGCGCAAGCCUGAUGCAGCCAUGCCGCGUGUAUGAAGAAGGCCUUAGGGUUGUAAAGUACUUUCAGCGGGGAGGCGUUACCCGCAGAAGAAGCACCGGCUAACUCCGUGCCAGCAGCCGCGGUAAUUC